rnacentral:tRNA from 1 species
GCCCGGCUAGCUCAGUCGGUAUAGCGUUGGACAUCUUAAUCCAACGGUCGUGGGUUCGAGCCCCACGUUGGGCG